GAUGAACGCUGACGGUGUACUUUAGACAUGCAAGUCGAACGAGAAAAGCCCUUCGGGGUGAGUAAAGUGGCGAACGGGUGAGUAACACGUGGGCAACCUGCCCCUCGCGGGGGGACGAACCGGGGGAAACGUCCGGCUAAUACCCCGUACGCUUACGGGAUCGCAUGAUCCCAUAAGGAAAGGUAGCUUCGGCCAACCGGCGAGGGAUGGGCCCGCGGUACAUUAGCUAGUUGGUGGGGUAACGGCCCACCAAGGCGACGAUGUAAGCUGGUCUGAGAGGAUGAUCAGCCACACUGGGACUGAGACACGGCCCAGACUCCUACGGGAGGCAGCAGUCGGGAAUCUUGCGCAAUGGGCGAAAGCCUGACGCAGCAACACCGUGUGAGUGACGAA
rnacentral:rRNA from 1 species